rnacentral:rRNA from 1 species
UACAGAGGGUGCGAGCGUUGUCCGGAAUCACUGGGCGUAAAGGGCGCGUAGGCGGCUUGAUAAGCGUGCGGUGAAAGCCCGGGGCUCAACCCCGGGUCGGCCGUGCGAACUGUCGAGCUGGAGCACUGUAGAGGCAGGUGGAAUUCCCGGGUGUAGUCGGUGGAAAUGCGUAGAGAUCGGGAAGGAACACCCGGUGGCGAAGGCGGCCACUGG